rnacentral:tRNA from 1 species
GCCGCGAUAGCUCAGUUGGGAGAGCGUCAGACUGAAGUCGGCUUAUGUAGCAUAAGAUAAGAUAUCACCAGUUAUCUGAAGGUCGCUGGUUCAAUCCCGGCUCGCGGCA